GCCGGACACGGUGGCGCGUGCCUGUAGUCCCAGCUACUUGGGAGGCUGAGGUGGGAGGAUUGCUUGAGCCCAGGAGUUCUGGGCUGUAGUGCGCUAUGCCGAUUGGGUGUCUGCUCUAAGUUUGGCAUCAAUAUGGUGACCUCCUGGGAGCGGGGGACCACCAGGUGGCCUAAGGAGGGGUGAACCAGCCCAGGUCGGAAACGGAGCAGUUCAAAACUCCCAUGCUGAUCAGUAGUGGGAUCUCGCCUGUGAAUAGCCACUGUACUCCAGCCUGGGAAACAUAGCGAGACCCCGUCUCU
ensembl:misc_RNA Metazoa_SRP Metazoan signal recognition particle RNA